UCCCAAAACUUCCUCCAGUCAGCCGGUCC
rnacentral:piRNA from 1 species